CAAAACAUUUUGACAGUAGAAUUUUUUAUAUGUCAUGUAGGAGUAAUUUGAUUGAUAGAAUGAAAGAGUAAAAAAAAUACAACAAAAAAACACAAUAUCAGUUCCUCUCUCUCGUUUACAGACCCAAGGGGUCUAUUUGUAAAUUUUUUUAACAAAAUAAUUCAGUUUUUAUUUUCUUUCUCUCUCUUUACCAAAGAAGAUUUGAGAAGCUAUAUCUCAUCCUCUCAACAAACCUAGCCGCCGCCGCUACCACCACCACAACUCUCACAAUCUCGUCUAUUUCUGUUCAACCUUCACCAUCUUUCUUUUCUCCUUCUCAUAUAUUUCCCGUCAAGUUUAGUUUUAGAUCGGAGAUAUUUUGAAAUUUCUCAACCGUCAUCUUCAUGGUUAGAUCUAGAUCACGAAAGACUGUCUUUUAAAAAACCAACACCAUAUAAAUACUCUACUCCUUCUCCUCUACAAAACCCACAAAGAAAAAAAUCAAGAUUGGAACACCUUCGCCAGUGACAGCCGCGCCGGAAAACACAACCACCACACCGGAAAAUCGCAAAAUGAUUGAGAUUUUGAAAUAUGGCUUCGUGUUUUCAGUGUGGGUCGCGGAAAAGAAACUCAAUGGUGAUGAUUUACCAGCGAUGUAGUGAAAAAUGAAAUCAAGUUAAAAGUUUGUUUUCAGAGGGAGAUGCAAACAGAUCAACUAUAACAAUGUGCAAGAGCUACUUCAACAAGCUUUGAUAAGAAGGAGGAACAACCUUUCACGGGACACUUGCAUUUUAUUUUUGUGUAAAUAUUUUAGUGAUAAUAUUUGUAAAGCCCAGCUUAUUUCAAACUACAAUUUAAAUAUUAAUUUAUUUUUUUUGAAUUAUAUCUUGAAUAUUACGAUAAAAUCCAUUACAUAAUUUUACAUAUUUUAUUUUAUUUUCAAUUUAAUUUAAUUUUUUCAUUUUCAAUUAAAAUAUUUUAUUUUAAUUUUGCUGAAAAUAGCUAUUUUUAUUUUUUUUAAAUAUUAAAUACAGUUCCUACGAAAAUUUCGUAGGUAAUGUGCUGACACAUGCUGACUAAAGUGGCAGCUGACACAAAUACGUUUCCUACGAAAAUUUCGUAGGUAAUUUCGUCGGAAAUGUUGUAGGAAUAGUCAGGUUUUUGCCUACAAAGCUCUUGGUAGGAAAUGUCGUCGGAAAUGUUACAUUUCCUACGAAAAUGGGCACUAUUCCCACGAAAUUUUUUGUAGGUAAUGCAGAGGAUUCU